GACAGAGGGUGCAAACGUUGUUCGGAAUUACUGGGCGUAAAGCGUGUGUAGGCGGCCAUGUAAGUUGGAUGUGAAAGCCCGGGGCUCAACCUCGGAAGUGCAUUCAAUACUGCGUGGCUUGAGUAUCGGAGAGGUUGGUGGAAUUCUCGGUGUAGAGGUGAAAUUCGUAGAUAUCGAGAGGAACACCGGUGGCGAAGGCGGCCAACUGGACGAAUACUGACGCUGAGACACGAAAUCGUGGGGAGCAAACAGG
rnacentral:rRNA from 1 species